rnacentral:rRNA from 1 species
GAUGAACGCUGGCGGCGUGCCUAAUACAUGCAAGUCGAACGGUAAGGCCCUUCGGGGUACACGAGUGGCGAACGGGCGAGUAACACGUGGGUGAUCUGCCCUGCAUUUCGGGAUAAGCCUGGGAAACUGGGUCUAAUACCGGAUAGGACCACUGCCUGCAUGGGUGGUGGUGGAAAGCUUUUGCGGUGUGGGAUGGGCCCGCGGCCUAUCAGCUUGUUGGUGGGGUGAUGGCCUACCAAGGCGACGACGGGUAGCCGGCCUGAGAGGGUGACCGGCCACACUGGGACUGAGAUACGGCCCAGACUCCUACGGGAGGCAGCAGUGGGGAAUAUUGCACAAUGGGCGCAAGCCUGAUGCAGCGACGCCGCGUGAGGGAUGACGGCCUUCGGGCUGUAAACCUCUUUCAGCACCGACGAAGCGCAAGUGACGGUAGGUGCAGAAGAAGGACCGGCCAACUACGUGCCAGCCGCCGCGGUAA